UUUUGGUUCAACCUUUAUAUUUAGCUUUUGAAUACUCCUGAGCUUGUGUUAUGUUCAACGAUUUAACAGAAAUUUGUACCAAUGACCUCAUCAACAUUUAAUGCCAGCAUUGUUUCCCUCAAAAAAUAAUAAUUAUGUCCAUUGCAUGUUAUGCCAGUUCAUCUGCAGAGUACUUCCAUCUUUGCAAAUCAGUGCUCCUGCAUUCAUCAUUUUAUUGUCCAUUUUGCAUUUCAUUUGGUCUGUUGAAAUUCAAACUCAGCAGGCCUCUGCUGCUUUGUGAAGGAGUAAGAUUACUAAUCUUUAUGGGCAUUUGUGUGUGUGUCUAUAACUCUCUCUCUCUAUAUAUAUAUAUACGUGUGUGUGUGUGUGUGUGUGUGCAUUUUUUUCCUGUAAAAAUGAUUGAAUUGGACACAUUUCUCUUGGUCUGUUAAAGUUCAACUCAGCCAGGCCUCUGCUGCUCGGUAGGGCUAAGAUUUAUCAAUCUCAAGUCUGGUCCUACUGAUGGUUAGUGAAUUCAAAUGUGGGAGAGUAGUUUGUUCAUUAGGGAAUGCCCCUGCAUACUUUCAUGGCAUGCCUUGCUGUUUUCAGUAGAACAUUCUCAUCUUCAAUGUCUUUUUCCUACAUGAGGAAACUACAAUAUCUAGGAAUUUUGAUUGUCUGCAGGUAUUACACUCUUUUGUAGUUGCAGAGAGGGGUUCAAUACCAUGAAAGUACAUAUGUCUGCUGCCUUGAUCUAUUAAACUUUUAUGCAUGUCCCAUCAAAUUCCAGGUUGUGGAACUCAAUGGCAAGGUCGAAGAGCCUGGGAAGGAAAAUAUACACAACAAUGCAUUCUAUGCAAAAGAAAAGCUGCUUCAAUCUGAAUUGCAAGCAAUGUCUGACUGUAGUCCUUUGGCUGCUUGGCACUGGAUUGUAAGAUUUGCUUGUUAAUUGCACUACUUAUUUAUUUGUCACUAAAUUUGAACUUUUCCUUCCCUUGGAAAACAAUUAAGCAGUUAUACUUGUUUGUGUGUUACAAAUGAAAUCCUGUUCUCGUCUUUUGAUGUU